AGUGAACGCUGGCGGUAGGCCUAACACAUGCAAGUCGAACGGCAGCACAGUAAGAGCUUGCUCUUACGGGUGGCGAGUGGCGGACGGGUGAGGAAUACAUCGGAAUCUACUUUUUCGUGGGGGCUAACGUAGGGAAACUUACGCUAAUACCGCAUACGACCUACGGGUGAAAGCAGGGGAUCUUCGGACCUUGCGCGAUUGAAUGAGCCGAUGUCGGAUUAGCUAGUUGGCGGGGUAAAGGCCCACCAAGGCGACGAUCCGUAGCUGGUCUGUGAGGAUGAUCAGCCACACUGGAACUGAGACACGGUCCAGACUCCUACGGGAGGCAGCAGUGGGGAAUAUUGGACAAUGGGCGCAAGCCUGAUCCAGCCAUACCGCGUGGGUGAAGAAGGCCUUCGGGUUGUAAAGCCCUUUUGUUGGGAAAGAAAAGCAGCAGGUUAAUACCCCGCUGUUCUGACGGUACCCAAAGAAUAAGCACCGGCUAACUUCGUG
rnacentral:rRNA from 1 species